UACGUAGGGUGCGAGCGUUAAUCGGAAUUACUGGGCGUAAAGCGUGCGCAGGCGGUUUUGUAAGCCAGAUGUGAAAUCCCCGGGCUUAACCUGGGAAUGGCAUUUGGGACUGCAAGGCUGGAGUGUGGCAGAGGAGACUGGAAUUCCCGGUGUAGCAGUGAAAUGCGUAGAUAUCAGGAGGAACACCGGUGGCGAAGGCGGAUCUCUGGGCCUUACCUGACGCUCGAGGCACGAAAGCUAGGGGAGCGAACAGG
rnacentral:rRNA from 1 species